GACGAACGCUGGCGGCGUGCUUAACACAUGCAAGUCGAACGCUGAAGCUCAGCUUGCUGGGUGGAUGAGUGGCGAACGGGUGAGUAACACGUGAGUAACCUGCCCUCUUCUUUGGAUAACGCCCGGAAACGGGUGCUAAUACUGGAUAUUCACUGAUUCUCGCAUGGGGGUUGGUGGAAAGGUUUUUUCUGGUGGGGGAUGGGCUCGCGGCCUAUCAGCUUGUUGGGGGGGUGAUGGCCUACCAAGGCUUUGACGGGUAGCCGGCCUGAGAGGGUGACCGGUCACAUUGGGACUGAGAUACGGCCCAGACUCCUACGGGAGGCAGCAGUGGGGAAUAUUGCACAAUGGGCGAAAGCCUGAUGCAGCGACGCCGCGUGAGGGAUGGAGGCCUUCGGGUUGUAAACCUCUUUCGCUCAUGGUCAAGCCGCAGCUUUGGGUUGUGGUGAGGGUAGUGGGUAAAGAAGCGCCGGCUAACUACGUG
rnacentral:rRNA from 1 species